rnacentral:rRNA from 1 species
GAAAAGAAACCAACCGGGAUUGCCUUAGUAACGGCGAGUGAAGCGGCAAAAGCUCAAAUUGAAAUCUGGUACCUUCGGUGCCCGAGUUGUAAUUUGGAGAGGGCAACUUUGGGGCCGUUCCUUGUCUAUGUUCCUUGGAACAGGACGUCAUAGAGGGUGAGAAUCCCGUGUGGCGAGGAGUGCGGUUCUUGUAAAGUGCCUUCGAAGAGUCGAGUUGUUUGGGAAUGCAGCUCUAAGUGGGUGGUAAAUUCCAUCUAAAGCUAAAUAUUGGCGAGAGACCGAUAGCGAACAAGUACAGUGAUGGAAAGAUGAAAAGAACUUUGAAAAGAGAGUGAAAAAGUACGUGAAAUUGUUGAAAGGGAAGGGCAUUUGAUCAGACAUGGUGUUUUGUGCCCUCUGCUCCUUGUGGGUAGGGGAAUCUCGCAUUUCACUGGGCCAGCAUCAGUUUUGGUGGCAGGAUAAAUCCAUAGGAAUGUAGCUUGCCUCGGUAAGUAUUAUAGCCUGUGGGAAUACUGCCAGCUGGGACUGAGGACUGCGACGUAAGUUCAAGGAUGCUGGCA